rnacentral:rRNA from 1 species
AUACGGAGGAUCCGAGCGUUAUCCGGAUUUAUUGGGUUUAAAGGGUGCGUAGGCGGCCUUUUAAGUCAGCGGUUAAAUCGUGGGGCUCAACCCCAUUCUGCCGUUGAUACUGGGUGGCUUGAUUGCGGUCGAGGUUGGCGGAAUUCGUUGUGUAGCGGUGAAAUGCAUAGAUAUGACGAAGAACACCGAUUGCGUAGGCAGCUGACCAGAUCGCAAAUGACGCUCAUGCACGAAAGUGCGGGGAUCGAACAGGAUUAGAUGCCCUGGUAGUCCGCACAGUAAACGAUGAAUACUUGUUUUCGGCGAUAUAAUGUCGGAGGCAAAGCGAAAGCGAUAAGUAUUCCACCUGGGGAGUACGCCGGCAACGGUGAAACUCAAAUGAAUUGGCGGGG